AGGAUAGGGCAAGAAAAGGAGAAAGAGGAGGAGAUGAUGAUUCACCAUCUAGAGAGGGUCUGCAAUCCUGAAUCGUCCUUCAAAUGCUUGUGGGAAAUCAACUAUUUACUGAAGCCAACAGAGACUUUUGGAGGGAAGAUAUCCACCUUGUAAUGAAAAUGAUCACAUUCUACACAUCCU